rnacentral:rRNA from 1 species
ACGAACGCUGGCGGCGUGCCUAAUACAUGCAAGUCGCACGAGAGCGACCGGUGCUUGCACUGGUCAAUCUAGUGGCGAACGGGUGAGUAACACGUGGGUAACCUGCCCAUCAGAGGGGGAUAACAUCCGGAAACGGAUGCUAAAACCGCAUAGGUCUUCGAGCCGCAUGGCUUGAAGAGGAAAAGAGGCGCAAGCUUCUGCUGAUGGAUGGACCCGCGGUGCAUUAGCUAGUUGGUGAGGUAACGGCUCACCAAGGCCGUGAUGCAUAGCCGACCUGAGAGGGUGAUCGGCCACAUUGGGACUGAGACACGGCCCAAACUCCUACGGGAGGCAGCAGUAGGGAAUCUUCCGCAAAGGACGCAAGUCUGACGGAGCAACGCCGCGUGAGUGAAGAAGGUUUUCGGAUCGUAAAACUCUGUUGUUAGAGAAGAACAAGUGCUAGAGUAACUGUUAGCGCCUUGACGGUAUCUAACCAGAAAGCCACGGCUAACUACGUG